AAAUUUAUGACUGUUAUGAAUAAAUCAAUUUUAAAACGAAAAUUAAUAUUUAACAAUAGAAUUGCUGAGAAAAACAUCAUGAGUGUAAUAACGAAUUACUUUCAUUCAUCAUGAUCUAAAUCCAAAAUACCAUGCAAGCUUGAACCUAGUAAUUAUGUUUUAAAUCCUGAAUUCUAUUCAACAAAAACAACUGCAAUAUGUUUGAUAUAUAAAUAUCCAGAUUGUGACUUCUAUUGAAUAGAAAAAAUUGGAAUGUUCUUUUUUAGCAAGGGCUGUUUUAAAAAUUUUUUUAAAUAGCCAAAACAAAGCAAAUCAUGUGAAAGUAUCCGUUGAGAAAGUUUCAGAUGGGCGUGAACCAAGUAAUUAAAUACAAAGUGAACUCAUUUGGUGGAGCUCAGUGGCAAAUAACAUGUUUCAUUCGUCCCAACAACUAGCCGUUAUUUAUGGGAGCACAUAUAUGAAGAUUUAGAAUGUGAAGCAAAAUUCGAAUGGAGGUCUACCACCGAUAGACCUUUUAAACUUGAAUUCAAGCGCAUAGUGUAGCUGAAUAAUCAAUAAGCAAAGUCUCGACGGAAAGCCCGAGGGGACGUUUCUAAAGCACGAACGUCGGCACUUGUUGUUCACUAAAGACGAAAAAUAAAAAUAUAGAACAUAAGCGCGCGAGAGAACAAGAUCACGAACCAAAGGAGACGAAUCUUCUUAGAAGUCGAUCAUCACAUUAUGCAGUUCCGCUACCACAUUUCCAAUUACCUUUAACGAGGAUCCAUCUAUAACCUUCAGAAGAUCAUUUCGUAGCAAAGCUAUCGAAAUUAUAUAUUUAAUUUUCUAUAAAAAUAACAAUAACAGAAUUACAGAUACUGGUAGACAUUAAAUGAAUAAUUUUUACAUGCAUAAACGUGAAUUUGUCAUCCAGAUUGUGAAGAACAAGUAGGUUGGAUCAUAUGCAACAAAUUUGGAUCAUAUGAGACUACGUCGAUAUAAAAA